AGCCGCUCGGCCGUGUGUCCCUGCCGCCUGACUCCCUUGGGCUUUGGAACAGGUCCCUCGUGAGAACCGGUGCUGAUGAUGGAAAGUGUGUCGGGUCGUGUCUUUUCUUUCUCAUCGCCGCCCCCGAGUCCAGGCCGAGUCUGUGGCUGUUCGAAUUCUGAAAAGCAUUAGUGGCUCCUUCUAAGUACUUUCUGUUAAUACAGGAAGAGGUUUUCCUAUGUUUCUUCUUAAA